rnacentral:rRNA from 1 species
AAUGAACGUUGGCGGCGUGGAUUAGGCAUGCAAGUCGAGCGAGAAGAGUUUUGAAGCUUGCUUUAGAACUCGGAAAGCGGCGAAAGGGAGAGUAACGCGUAGUUAUGUACCCAGGGGUUCGGAAUAGCCACGGGAAACUGUGGGUAAUGCCGAAUAACAUCUCCGGAUCAAAGGUGUGAUUCCGCCCUUGGAGCAGACUGCGUCCUACUAGCUAGUUGGCGGGGUAAUGGCCCACCAAGGCAACAAUGGGUAGCGGGUGUGAGAGCAUGACCCGUCUCACUGGGACUGAGACACUGCCCAGACACCUACGGGUGGCUGCAGUGGAGAAUCUUCGGCAAUGGGCGAAAGCCUGACCGAGCGACGCCGCGUGCGGGAUGAAGGCCCUCGGGUUGUAAACCGCUGUCGUAGGGGAGGAAGGCUCCGUGAAGAACGGGGUUUGACCUAUCCUAGGAGGAAGUACGGGCUAAGUUCGUGCCAGCAGCCGCGGUAAGAC